GCCCAUAGUCCUGGAAUAGCUCAAGUUGGUAGAACAUAAGGCUCUUAAUCUCAGAGUCAUGGGUUCAAGCCCCACGUUGGGCA